rnacentral:rRNA from 1 species
ACCUCGAUCCACCUUCCGGCGAAACCAAUUCAUUGCUCGCUUUCGCAAGACUCUUUCUUUCUCCCCUUUCCUCUCCCCCCAACCCGUCCGUCGUCGCCUCCGCCCGAGGUAACCGCCAUAGCCGCGAGGAAUCAAGAACCUUGCCUGCCGCACGUCGUCCCUGAGGACCGAGAGGAGACGAUGGAGGGCGGCUGCGGCGUGGCCGGCGGGACGGAGGGCGGCGGCGGCAAGAAGCAGCAGCAGCAGGCGCGGCCGCAGUUCGGGCGGUCGCUGACGUACCACCACCACCAGGGGCACCGGCUGCUGCCCCGGUGGCGGCGGCCGCAGCUGGCGGACGAGCCCCGCGCGCGGCCGCAGGCGGUGGUGCUCUACACGACGUCGCUGCGCGGGGUGCGGCGCACCUUCGCGGACUGCUCCGCGGCGCGCGCCAUCCUGCGGGGGUCCCGCGUCGCCGUCGACGAGCGCGACGUGUCCAUGGACGCGGCGCUCCGCCGCGAGCUGCAGGCGCUGCUGGCCGCGCGGGGCCGCGCCUUCUCGCUCCCGCAGCUCUUCAUCGGGGGCCGGCUCGUCGGCGGCGCCGACGAGGUCCGGCAGCUGGACGAGUCCGGCCAGCUCCGGCGCCUCCUGGAGGGCGCCGCGGGGCAGGACCCGGCCUUCGUCUGCGACGCCUGCGGCGGGGUGCGCUUCGUCCCCUGCCCCGCCUGCGCCGGCAGCCGCAAGGUGUUCGACGAGGAGGAGGACCGCGCCCUCCGCUGCGGCGACUGCAACGAGAACGGGCUGGUGCGCUGCGCCAACUGCUCCUCCUGAUCCUUCCCCGCCGCUAAUUGAAUCCAAGGGUUAGAGUUGGUAGAUUCGUCGUCAGUCAGAUCAGAGAGGGGCGCAUUUUCGGUUUCUUGGGAGUUCUUGACUUAUGAUUUAUGUAUCCUGAAUCAAUCAAUCCGAUCGUUUGGGGAUCGGAUUGUUAGCUGCUCAUGGACGGAAGAGAACGAAUUGUUCUUGGCUCCUUUGCUGCGGGAAUCGCCGCCCGGUGGUGGUGAUUGGUGAUGAAUAAGAGCCGGUGCUUGUAUAUGUGUGUAAAAUCUGGCGCUGAGAUUAGCCUGAUUGGUUAAUGUGUAACGAAGAACUGAUGUAAAUACUUGAGCUCUGGGAGUGAUAAAUUAUUUUCUAGUUCCUUGAUUAUCCAUGGCUUUGGUCAAAUCUCUUCAUGGAUGUACUACAGUAGCAACACAGUUCGAUACCUCAUCAAGAACUGGCCCAACUGUACUAGCAGAAAGUCUUCAAGGCCGAAACUAGCUGUGAUCGACUGUACUACUCAGUCAGAAGCUGUACUCAUGCUGUUCUAUAGCUGUGUUCUAAAUUAGAGCCACCUCUUUUGUUCUUUAAUCAUGCAAGAUGUGUCAUUCCAUGGACGUACAGUUAUAUACAUCUUAAAACAAUGUGAUCGAUCGUCAUCCGGAAAUGAUCAUGAUCUGACUGUACUUACUAAAAGUCCUUAAUCAUGUUGCAUUCAAGUUGUUUUCCAAAAU